GCUCAGCCUGGCAGACAUGGUACUACUUCUGAAAGCAACCAUCUUCUCCUCCCUCUGGGCUUUUGGACUCGGAUACUUGGAGCAACCUGAAAUCUCAGUUUCCAGAGCCACAGAUGGCAGUGCCCACGUACCUUGUAAGGCAUCCUUCAGUACUUUCCGCAGUGCAUUCAUACAUUGGUACCGACAGAAACCCGGCCAAAGCUUAGAGUAUCUAAUGUAUGUCAUUUACACUUCCAGUCAGCAAUCUUUAAAUGGGAAGGACAGGAAAUUUGAGGCAAGUAAGAAUUUUAGCACUUCCACAGCAACUUUGA